GGAAAGCUGUUCCCCCCGCCACGCUCUUCCUCGCCCCUCUCCCUCAUCCCACCACCAGUUACCGCCCCGAUCCCAACAUUUCCCAUUCCUGAAGUGGACACAUAAGUGCAAGGAAGGAUUGGACAAAUACCAUCGGCAGCGGCAAGCAAGCUGUUCCGUGCCAGAGCGUCCUGAAGGGAGACACGACUGAAGAACCCCAACUCUCUCAGCCUGUCCUCAUACAGGAGGUGCUCCAGCCCUUGGAUCAUCUCUGUGGCCUCCUCUGGACUCACUUCAACAGCUCCAUGUCCUUCCCGUGCCAAGGACACCAGAACUGAACGUGUGGCUCCAGGUGUAGGAUAAACCUUGAGACGUUCAGUGGCACCCUAAGCUGUAAAGGCUGAAUUAAUGUCUCAUGGAUUUGGACCACCCACAGAGGAACUUGGAAACAGGUUGAAAAAGCCUUGGCAGCCAUGUACUCACUCCACGGCCAAAGUGCCAAACAAGUACACACCUAAAAGUUUGUGUCAUACUCAGAGGUGAUAAAUCAGUCCUUGGAACUAAGAGGAAUUUGUUUCUGUGCUCAGGCUUAGAGAGCUCUUAGAGAGCUCCCAUGGGAGGCCAACAGCAUCCCGUGGAGGUGAGUGAUCACGGAGCGAUGGCUCCGUGCCUCUGAUGCUGCCAUAGGACGCAGAAGAAAAUACUCAGCGGGGCAAAGAGAGGAGGACAAAUCGAACCUGCCUAUUGCACAGAGUUGGCUCAUCUAUAGGUUUUUAAAACUUGGGCCUCAGGCACUCCCCUUUCUCUUUCCUCUCUGGAUGGGGCUGCUGUGCUCUCCUCUUUAUCACCACUCUCAUUGCUUUUUAUUGCCAUGUUACCGCUCAGGGCCCCCAAGGGACAGAUGAGGCCCCAGGACGAGCGGAGGGGAAGCCGGGCAGUGACACAACUGCACAGCCAGUGCCACAGCGUGCACCACCCCGGCCACCCCCAGGCUGCAGCAAAACCUGAGCACAACCGCCCUCCCUGGAACGCUCCCUGCCCUGUGGGGCGAGGAGCUGGGAGAGGGGAGCCCCGGCGGCGCCAGGGCCAGAGCGGGCGAUGGCCAAGAGUGGCUCUGGGCAGGUGACUCUGUGCCUAACAAUUGGGAGUUGUUCUACACGAAAAACCAUGAGCUUGUGCUGAAACAGCCCCAAGCCAGUGAUGUAAUUCACUCGCCCCGUCAGGGCUGAGCAGCAAGCUGUGGGGCACGGAACGGGGCUGCGUGCAUGGUCUUGAACAAACACCAGAGCAACACCACCACCCAAACUACCUGCGUCUUCUCCAGGGGCACUGGCAGGUAAUUCCCCCCUGGAACAGGUUCCAGGGCAAACCCCGUGCUUCCCAACAGAAUUGCUGGCAGGGUGCGGCAGGGGAAGCUUGCACAGAUGUUCCCUUUCUGGGCAGAGAAGCAGCACGUUCAUCUUCUCCAGCACCAUUGCUGCCCCCUUCCCUAAUUCACCCUGAGAAAGUAAAUCAAACCGAACCCUGUUCAAGGGCUUUCCAGGAUCUUUCGUUCACAGGAGGGCAGCACUUGCAGACACACUGCCAGAUUCUAAGACAUAAAGCACUAAUAGUUUCCAGUGAAAAUUCCACUAAUGGAAGUGAAGGAGGCUCCGGUAGUUAAAGUAUGGUAAGCACGCUCUGGUAAAAGCACAGCACCGAGGACCAGCGGUACAGAAGGUCUCCCUCAGGGGAGCAGACAGAAGACAACACAGAGGAUGAACACUGCCUUUCCCCAUGCACGGACCCAGGAGAAA